UUCGCUCCUGUUGUUUCGUUUAUUGUUCGCGUCCCGAUGUUUUGUACCUAUUAUGAUAAUAUUAUUCUAAACCUUUUUUUUUGCAUUUUAAUUAACGCUCGUUGUAACACACGCAACAAACAUUUUUUUGUGAUUUGUAAAAAUAAAAUAAUUAUUUGCUUGUUGGUAACUUAGGCGUUUUGCUUACAUCGUAAUUCAAAGGUUCCUAGCCUCAAACCUUUCCUCUUAAAUUACCACAGCACUAUCACAGAUAUUAUCUAUAAAGCACAGAUAAUAUAGAUAAUAUGUGGGUACAACAGAUUAACAUAUAACAGAUUCAGCUGAACGUCAUAUACGGAAAUUGCUUAUUUUUGCGAUUACGUUUUCGUUUUAACUUUUGAAUUAACACUGAAUAGUGAAUAAUGGAUAUUAUAUUAUUAUGUCUAUAAUAUCCAUUAAAUUUGACUGAAAAAAAUAUUGUCACUGGCUACAUUGAUAGGAAGUAAUGUAACCAUCAGUGAGAAUUACUCUGGGCCGGUUAGCUUUUUGAGUGACUAUUGUUUGUUACUGGAUCCGAUAGAAGAACUUGAAAAAACUAGAGCUGAAAUAAAACGUUUGAAAUAUGAGAAUGACCUUUGAAAAUAGAAAUUGAACAAAUUGAAAAAUGUUUUAUUUUGUUUCACAGGAAGAACUUGAAAAAACUAGAGCUGAAAUAAAACGUUUGAAAUAUGAGAAUGACCUUUGAAAAUAGAAAUUGAACAAAUUGAAAAAAUUGAAGAAAAGAAGUUAGCUCUGCUAGAAUUUUAACACCUAAAGAGUGAAGUUCAAAAAAAGUAAUGAAUUAUUAAAUACUUUCAUUUGUGAUGACCAGAUUCUGGUUUUAAAUAAACCGCCUAGAAAGUGGGCAAAC